rnacentral:miRNA from 1 species
UGAUGAUGAUGAUGAUGAUGAUGAUGAUGAUGAUGAUGAUGAUGAUGAUGAUGAUGAUGAUGAUGCUCGUCUUCCUCUUCUUCGUCCUCUACCAAG